UAUAAAGCAUUUAGGAUGAAAUUUGUAAAUUUCCAAGAAACCUGAAGGGCUAAAAGUUUCUGUUUUAAAACGUCUAUAAGUACAUUAUCAUAUGCGGCGGAAAUAUCCAAAAAAGUUGCAAGUACAGAUUCAUUAUUAGUGAAUGCUAGUCGGAUGUCAGAAAUAAAAAUACUGAUGCUAUCCAAUGUGCAUUUUCCUUUCCUAAAACCGUACUGACUAUCCGAUAUUAAGCCUUUACUUUCAAAAUGCCACUCUAAACGAUUUUUAAUAAGAUGUUCUAUUAGUUUUAAUAGGAUGGAUGAUAAGGCUAUAGGGCGAUAUGAAGAAGCGUCAGAUAGGGGUUUAUUCGGUUUACACACUGGCAACACUACUUGUGUUUUCCAUUCUGACGGGAGAGUUCCUGUGUUUACAAAUGAAUUGAUGAGCUGUAAAUAAUAACCUAAAAUGUUGUCACUGAGAUGAGUAAAGAAAGAAUAUGGUAUUCCGUCGGCCCCAGGGGCGGAAUCUUUAGUAUUAGACACAACUCCUUUUAAUUCAUAAAGGGAAAAGUCUGAAUCCAAUGCCAUGUUACUUACUGUGUGUGAGGAAGCCUCAUCGCUGACUAUGUUGUGUGGUACCCAAGGGGGAGCUAAUUUGGUUAAAAAGUCAUGAGCUAAUGUUUCUGGUAUUGAUGGACUAGAAAUAUCACUAAACACAGAUUUAAAUCUUCUAAUACUACGCCAAACUAUAGAGGAAGGAGUGUUGGGGGAUAUAGAAAGACAGAAGUUUUUCCAACUCUCAGAUUUCUUUUUUUUCAAUAAUUUAGAGGUUUCUUUAUUUACAGACAUAACUAAAUCAAAAUUCUCUGAAGUCAUAUUAUAUUUAUAUUGUUUUUCAAUCUCUUUUCUGCGUUUAAUUGCUUCUGUACAUUCUGAAUCCCACCAAGGGGGUGAAGGAAUUUUGUUAGAUAAAUUUCCCUUUAGAGGGAAAACUUCAUUUGCUGCUUCGAUCAGAACAUUUGUAAGAGCAUUGGCACAAUCUAGUUGGUUAUCAGAUGAUAUAUUUGGGAGUGAAGAUAUUUUACUUUCUACACAAUUUUUAAAAGUUAGCCAAGUGUCACUAGUACUGUCUGGUAACCUAUGUUUUAAUUGAGAUGUAUGUUUCAGUGCUUUAGGUUUAUUAUAUGGAAAGGAAAUUAAAAUAGGGAAAUGGUCACUUCCAUAUGAGGACGGCAGGGUGCACCAGGUUAAGGAAGAGGCCAAACUUGGUGUACAAAUGGAGAGGUCAACUGCACUAACAUUUUGAUUUGGUGCUGUGAGGCGUGUGGGAGAGCCAGUAUUUAAAGUACAGAGGUUAUUACUGUCAAUUAUAUCAAGAAGUGCUUCACCAUAAUUGUUUGACACUGUACUACCCCAUGUCUGAUGGUGAGAGUUGAAAUCCCCUAAUAAUAAAAAUGGUCUUGCUAAAAUAGAAAAAUCUUCACUAUGUACAGGCAAAUUUACAGGAGAGAAUGGGACGGAGUUCCUGAUGAAAAUAGCCACUCCACCAUAUCCAUCAGGUCUGUCUUCUCUAAGGCAAUGGGCUGGCAGAAACAACAUCCGCAAAGGAUUUGGAGGCAGGUGGAUGUAGCUUUGAGGCUUCCGCGUAUGAAACACAAUUAUGGGCCAUAUAAUGUUUUAUUUGCUUCUGGCGAGCCAGCUCUGGACAAGCUUUGCUGGUGGCUAAAUGGGACCCGGAACAUAAGCAGCAAAAAGCGUUAUCUUCCUCCACCAUACAGGAGUCACCAGUGUGAUCAUGACCACACUUGUAACAGCGUGGUUUCGACCGACACUGUACCUUUGUGUGGCCAAAGCGGCAACAGUUGUAACACUGUAUGGUAGGGAAGAUAUAUAGUUCCACCGGAAGUGCAUUAUAGCAAAUAAAAAUACGCUUCGGCAAGACCUGGCCGUCGAAAGUGAUCACAGCAGAUUGUGACGGUUUCCAUACUGGUGUACCAUUAAUAAAGGUUUUAUAAUUGA